rnacentral:rRNA from 1 species
AACGCGAAGAACCUUACCUACUCUUGACAUAUUCGGAAUCCUCUGGAGACAGAGGAGUGCCUUCGGGAACCGAGAUACAGGUGCUGCAUGGCUGUCGUCAGCUCGUGUCGUGAGAUGUUGGGUUAAGUCCCGUAACGAGCGCAACCCUCGUCCUUAGUUGCCAACACGUCAUGGUGGGAACUCUAAGGAGACCGCCGGUGAUAAACCGGAGGAAGGUGGGGAUGAUGUCAAGUCAUCAUGGCCCUUAUGAGUAGGGCUACACGCGUGCUACAAUGGACAGUACAAAGGGUUGCAGAGCCGCGAGGUGAAGCUAAUCCCAAAAAGCUGUUCGUAGUCCGGAUUGGAGUCUGCAACUCGACUCCAUGAAGUUGGAAUCGCUAGUAAUCGCGAAUCAGAACGUCGCGGUGAAUACGUUCUCGGGCCUUGUACACACCGUACGUC